GGUUAAGCGACUAAGCGUACACGGUGGAUGCCCUGGCAGUCAGAGGCGAUGAAGGGCGUGCUAAUCUGCGAUAAGCGCCGGUAAGGUGAUAUGAACCGUUAUAACCGGCGAUACCCGAAUGGGGAAACCCAGUGUGAUUCGUCACACUAUCAUUAACUGAAUCCAUAGGUUAAUGAGGCGAACCGGGGGAACUGAAACAUCUAAGUACCCCGAGGAAAAGAAAUCAACCGAGAUUCCCCCAGUAGCGGCGAGCGAACGGGGAGGAGCCCAGAGCCUGAAUCAGCAUGUGUGUUAGUGGAAGCGUCUGGAAAGGCGCGCGAUACAGGGUGACAGCCCCGUACACAAAAGCGCAUGUGCUGUGAGCUCGAUGAGUAGGGCGGGACACGUGGUAUCCUGUCUGAAUAUGGGGGGACCAUCCUCCAAGGCUAAAUACUCCUGACUGACCGAUAGUGAACCAGUACCGUG
rnacentral:rRNA from 1 species